UCAUUCUCGUGCUUGUAUUCGGUCUAUGGUCUCAAACGUAUCAAGAGUUGCAAGUUCUACAAUACAUGACUAAUGGUCCACUCAAACAAAGAAACAAUAGGUAUGGUAUGUGACAUGCAUCAAAUGCUAGUUUCUUAGGCGGAUUAUUCCCAAAUAACCACCCGCUAAAUACCCGUCAUGCUAAUUAUUUGAACUUGACCAUGACAAUAGACCAAAUGGGUUGUGUCAUCCCUCGUUGACUUAGGUACUUGUGUUUUUUAGAUUGCUUCAAACAAAGACAUUUUUGAAAAAUUUUUGAAAUUUUUCCCCCAUCCCCACACUUGAGGUAAACAUUGUCCUCAAUGUGUAGUGUUUAAAUGAACG
rnacentral:lncRNA from 1 species